AGUUUAAUUUGAUUGUUAUCAUGCAAACAGAGUGAGGUGGAGAGAUGCAGUAACAGUAGCUUGAUAGAGAGAGGCAGUAACAGUAGCUUGAUAGAGAGAGAGAGGCAGUAACAGUAGCUUGAUAGAGAGAGGCAGUAACAGUAGCUUGAUAGAGAGAGGCAGUAACAGUAGCUUGAUAGAGAGAGGCAGUAACAGUAGCUUGAUAGAGAGAUGCAGUAACAGUAGCUUGAUAGAGAGAGGCAGUAACAGUAGCUUGAUAGAGAGAGGCAGUAACAGUAGCUUGAUAGAGAGAGGCAGUAACAGUAGCUUGAUAGAGAGCAGUAUAGCUUGAUAGAGAGAGGCAGUAACAGUAGCUUGAUAGAGAGGCAGUGCAGCUAGCUACAUUCCAGGCACCUGCUACGCUAAUUAUAACAGGCAUUUACUCAAAAUCAACAUUUAUUUCGUACAACUUAGUUUAUCUGCACAUCCCGGUUGUGAGAUGAACAUGCCAUAGCUACAACAUCUGAAGAUCUAUGAGAGCUCUCCCAUGGAACAGGAAGUGAUGCGCAUAUACUCCUCCUCCCCCCCUCCGCUGGACGACGAAUCAGGGGGAGAGGAGGUUGAUGACGAGUUUGGGGAUUUCUCUGGGGGUGUGGCAAUGUCAUCCAACCAGCCGUGCCCCUCCAUAACAGACCCCGCCUCCCCGACCCCAUCAACGGUGCGCUUUAGUGUUAGUAACUCCUCCUCUUUCGCCGGAACUACCCAUAGCAACGGAAUCUCAAAACAGUUCCGAGCAGCUGACGACCUGAAGAAGCCAUGGGCGCCGGUGGUGGACCAAUCACAGCCCGCUAAUACUGGGACCUCAGAGAUUGGCAGGGUUCGGCUGGGGUUGGAGGUCAAAGGGCAGCCCUGUCAUUGCAACCUCCCUGACCUCCCUCUCACCAAUGGGUUUACCAAUCGACAUCACCAGGGAACUAUGUCUGCAGGUCUUGUACCGGCUGGGCAGAGCUCCCCCAGCCAGGAGCAGGGGUUUGCAGAUUUCUCUGCGUUCGCCGAGCCAGAGAUGGAGCUGGAGCCCUGGUGCUGCGGCUUCACUCACAGUACAGAGCACAGGAAGGACAGCAGGACGGAAGGGACAAACCUAACCAACGGUUUCUGUAAUGCACACUCAGUCCAGAAGGACAUAGAGCAGAUGGCCAGAAUAGAGCCUGGCGGGCCUGACUCUCAAUGUUUAGCAGAGCAAGGGGAGAGGGACUGCACUGGAGUCCAGCAACACUGUAAGCUGAGGGGCCACCCUCAGGACUCUGGCCUCUUAGCCACCACAGAGGUGCUCUGUGUUAGGGGUGAGGGCCUGGAGGAGCCUGGAGAGAGGGCACCCAGCAUCAACAGGGAUAGCACGCUUACACAGGACCCAGAACUGGGAGGGAGGAGGGCGGAGGAGGAGGAAGCUAAGGAGAGCGAAACAGAGGACAGUGUCUCUCCUCUCCCCACCACAGUCAGUGGGUCAGUGAGUGAGGAGUUUGCCUCCUUUGGUGAGGCUGUGUCGUCAGACGCUUUGGAGGAGUUUGGGGACUUUGGCGAGACGGUCUUCACUCCCUUGUCAAUAGGGGAGGAGGAGAAGGAGAAAGAGGAGGUGCAGCGGAGUGACCUCAGGGAGGAGACCAAGACAAAGAUGGUGGAGGAGGAAGAUGAAGAAGAGGACUUUGGAAACUUCAGGGAUGCUGGAUCCUUCCCUAGCCAGGAGGACUUUGUUGACUUCAACCAAUCGGAGUCCAGAACACAGGAGGGCUUCGGCGACUUUGACCAGGACUAUUCUGAGGACCCAGGUCCGACCCAGGCGUGUGGGGAGGAGGUUGGACAUGGAGACCUUCCCCUCAGCGACAGCUUUGCAGACUUCCACUCUGCUCCCCUGGAGGGCUGGGGGGCGUUUGGGGACCAGAGAGGUCUGUCAGAGGGGGAGACCUGGGCAGAGUUUGGAGAGGAGGAUAGACCCAGGUGGACAGAAGAGGCGGAGGUGAAGAAAAGUGGAGAGAGAUGUCAGGGAGGUGCUGCUGUACGAAGGGACAGUCUGCAGGCCUCCAUGUCUAUCCGGCUACAGAGAGUCCUGCAGACCAGCUUCCCUGCAGUGGCAGUCCCAGAACUGGAUCAGGAGAGGGAGGAGACUGGGGUGGAGGGGGAGGAGACUGGGGUGGAGGGGGAGGAGACUGGGUUGGAGGGGGAGGAGACGGGGCUGGAGGGGGAGGAGACGGG
ensembl:lncRNA